rnacentral:rRNA from 1 species
CCUACGGGAGGCAGCAGUGGGGAAUUUUGGACAAUGGGCGCAAGCCUGAUCCAGCUAUUCCGCGUGUGGGAAGACGGCCUUCGGGUUGUAAACCACUUUUGUAGAGAACGAAAAGUCUAUUGAUAAUACCGAUAGACGAUGACGGUACUCUAAGAAUAAGCACCAGCAAACUACGUGCCAGCAGCCGCGGUAAUACGUAGGGGGCGAGCGUUAAUCGGAAUGACUGGGCGGAAAGGGUGUGCAGGGGGUUUUGCAAGAUGGAUGUGAAAGCCGGGGGCUUAACCUGGGAAAGCGAUGCAUGAGUGCGAGACUAGAGGGCGUCAGAGGGGGGUGGAAUUCCAAGUGUAGCAGUGAAAUGCGUAGAUAUUUGGAAGAACAGCGAUGGCGAAGGCAGCCC